rnacentral:rRNA from 1 species
GUGGGGAAUCUUCCGCAAUGGACGAAAGUCUGACGGAGCAACGCAGCGUGAGUGAAGAAGGUUUUCGGAUCGUAAAGCUCUUUCGUUAGGGACGAACGUGCUCUUUGUGAAUAAUGAGGAGUAAUGACGGUACCUAAAUAAGAAGCCACGGCUAACUACGUGCCAGCAGCCGCGGUAAUACGUAGGUGGCAAGCGUUGUCCGGAAUUAUUGGGCGUAAAGCGCGCGCAGGCGGGAUAUCAAGUCUGUCUUAAAAGUGCGAGGCUCAACCUCGUGAGGGGACAGAAACUGGUAUUCUUGAGUGUCGGAGAGGAAAGUGGAAUUCCAAGUGUAGCGGUGAAAUGCGUAGAGAUUUGGAAGAACACCAGUGGCGAAGGCGACUUUCUGGACGAUGUCUGACGCUGAGGCGCGAAAGCUAGGGGAGCGAACGGGAUUAGAUACCCCGGUAGUCC